CCUACGGGUGGCUGCAGUGGGGAAUCUUGCGCAAUGGACGAAAGUCUGACGCAGCCACGCCGCGUGAGUGAAGAAGGCCUUCGGGUUGUAAAGCUCUGUCGGGCGGGACGAAAAGCUAAACAGUUAAGAGCUGGUUAGCCUGACGGUACCGCCAAAGGAAGCACCGGCUAACUUCGUGCCAGCAGCCGCGGUAAUACGAGGGGUGCAAGCGUUGCUCGGAAUUAUUGGGCGUAAAGGGCAGGUAGGUGGUCCCGUUUGUCAGAGGUGAAAGCCUU
rnacentral:rRNA from 1 species